rnacentral:lncRNA from 1 species
ACUCUAAGAUUGUAUGGUCCAUCAAAUGGCCUGGCAAGAGCAGUUACAAGAGAUGUUCAGUUGGAAAAGCUACUCUUGCCUGCUAAUAUAAAUAUUCUGCCUUUAUAUAUUGGAGUUCACCGUGACCCUCACUUUUGGGGAGAUGAUGUGCAUCAUUUUAAACCCGAGAGAUUCGCUGAAGGGAUUGCCAAAGCUACCAAUUACACCGCGGCUGCAUUUCUUCCCUUCGGGUUGGGACCUCGAUCUUGUGUUGGUAUGACAUUUGCAACAAUAGAAACCAAGAUUGUUCUCUCCAUGAUUCUACAACGUUACACCAUUACCCUCUCCCCUGCCUAUAUCCACUCUCCGAUAUCUAUUCUCAGCAUUAGACCACAACAUGAAAUUCAGGUGAUACUUGAACCACUGCAUCAUAAUGCUUGAAGUACAUAGCUGUUAAGAACUAAGGGUUUAACGUGGUUCAUGUAUUUUAGGUUUAAGAGAUGACAUUUAAUAUGUUUAAGGUUCCAGCAUUUGCAUCCCCUUCCCUAUCCUAAGCUAUACCCACCUUUAUACAUAAUGAAAUUCAAAUAGCUACUGAUUUCCAAGGUGGUAAAACGCAAUCAAUAAAGAAGAAUAUGUUGAGGCAAGUUUUGGGAGCAGUGACUUGAAAAAUGACAACUGCACUUGGCACGUGUCCCUUAUUUGUUAGCUUGUUUAAAAUAAAUAUUUUUGAUUAUUUGCUUGAAGAUUUUGUACAUCCAAUUUCAUGUUUAUUAAUGGAUUGGUUUUUCUUAAACUACUGGUUAUACUAAGGCUUGUUUAAACUUUGGGCAAAGCAUAAUAGAUGUAGAUAUGUUCUCCUUGAUUGGUGUCAAAUCUACUAAAAAUAAAUUUUUCUGCCUGAUACUGAAAUUAAAUUUAUAGUAUAGAGAGUUGAAUCGAUCUCACAAAAGUUAAUCUAUCCAAAUCUAUAUUCUUUAUAACUAGAACGUGUCCCAAGUAGUUUUUGUGCCCAUGACUUGUGCGAACCUGUACAAAAAAUAAGAGGGGUUAAAUCUGAAAAAUAAAUAAACAACCGAAAUUAAUUAAAAAUGAAAAUAAAGUAGAAAUAAGUAAAACGAAAUAAUAUUAUUGAAUUAAAUAAUUUCAUUUUUUAUUAAAAAAUUAUCAUACACACCUGGAAAAUAUGAAACACAUGGUUAAAUCUAAUUGGCUUCUAGACUAAAAAUAUUAACUAGAAGAAAGUUCCGAGUAAAAAAAAUUUAAACAUAAAUGUGAGAAAACGAGUAUAGUUUAAGAGCUAAAAUAUGAAUAAAGUCGAAAUAAAUUCCUAAAAUAUAAAAUUUCAUAAAUACAUUAAUGUGAUUAUAUAUAAUCAAAAUUAAAUAUUAAAUCGAACUAAAUAUGAUUUAAACUUGAAUCAAAGAAUGAAACUCGUAAUUCCCGUAAAAUUCUUAUUCAGAAAUAAGUUUUUGAACUCGAAAUAAGAUAAUAAAUUUAUUAAAAGAGGCAACCACUUAACAGUGGAUGAUACAAGUCCUUGCAAGAGCAAUUACAAAAUCUGCUGAACUGCACAAUUAACAUACACCAAUAUGACAUCACCACAAGAAAAGCACACUUUACCAAUGCCAGAAAACCAUAGCCCGGAGCAGAAAACAAGAAGCGAGAGAGCAAGUUAUAUCUGAAACAAGCACUACUACGAAACCCUUCUCAACAUGGCAAACACCAUAUCAGAAACUAUGACCAACAGCAGCUCCACCCAUAAUCCAGAACCAAGCAACUAACUAUAGUGAUCGCCCUUGCUUAAAAAAAAAACUUUACAUAAAUCAACGAGCAAGCAUUGGGCCUCACCCCAAGUAAGAAAACGAUCCAUCAAACCUUGAAAAAGCUUUAGACACCAUCAGUUAUCAGCAGAUAAGAAACCUAAAACAGAGCCAACACCAGCAACACCUUAUCAAGACCAACAGCCUAGAAAAAAUCUCAAUGGAACCGAUAGCAAAGGAAACUCAAUGUCAUAUCGGCUCCCAUAAAACUUUCAAACCACCCCACUGUAGCUCUUAAGACUGACGAUAACCAUACUUUAAAAUCACCAAAGCAUCCACUUCGAGAGACACCUUCAACCAUAACACAAUGAAUAGACUCAAAUUCAAUUCUAUAAUCACAACAUACAAAAAAAGACAAGCCAUAUUCAAUAAAAUAACAGCCUCAACCAAUCAGUAGGCCCAUAAAAGGCACAAAACACCAUAAUGCAUCAUCCAACCUCAACAACAUAAAGUUUGUUUAUCAUGGUGUUAUAAUCAAUAUUGGGUUCAAACCCACUAUAAAUAUAUUUUUAUUGAUUUUUAUUAACUUGUGAUUUUUCGUCCACCAGAAACGGCGGUCACCGUCGCCGACGACCGGCGGCCACGACGGAGGUCCGCCGUCCCCAUAGCCUGCCUAAGAAAAAACAUCAGAGAGAAAAAAAAAAGGGAGGGGUUUUUUAAAAAAAAAAACAAAUGAAAAAUGAAUUUUUUGGGAAAAUUUUAACUUAAAUAGAGUAUUGAAACGGCGUCGUUUUGGCCUGGUUCCAUAAAACCAAAACAGCGUCGUUUUGGUCCAGAUUCGCCGACCCGACCCGACCCCCUCAGGAUCCGCGCUUUUUAUGGGGGGUCUAAUUCCUUCUUUGGCCCUUCCAGUUUUUUGUAAUUUUCAAUUUAGUCCUAUCGAUUUUUAUUCGUUUUAAUUUUCGCCCCAUAAUUUAAAUCCUUGUGCAAUUUAGUUCCCUGACCCACUAUAAACCCAUUGGGGGAGUGACACGUGUCUAUAUAUGGGGGAUAAUUUCCAUAUAACCCCCUAAUUUUUAUCUUAUUUUAAUUUAAUCCUUCAAAUUCUUUUUCUUUAUAAUUUAGAAUGUUAGUUUUGUUAUAUUUUAAAUUUAGUUCUUUAUUCCGUUUUCUUUAUUUAUUUUGCGAUUUAUGCUUCAAGUUUCUCUUAAAUUUUGAUUUAAUCCCUUAUUUGGUUAAUUUUGCCUCUUUAUUUACUAUAUUAUUUAUUUUAGUAUUUAACAUUUAUGUUAUUUAUAUUUUCUUUUAUUUACACAUUUUAUUUUUAUCUUAUCAUAGUUAUUAUUAUUUUAUUUACUCCUGUUAUUAUGAUAAUAGUUACGAUAUGAUUAUCACUAUUAUUAUUAUAAAUCGAUAUUCUUAUUACUAUUAUAGUUGCAUUAUUAUUAUUUACCAACAUGUUUCUUUUAUUUUAUUUUUAAUUUUUAAUUUUCUCAUUUAUUUUAUUUCAUUUUAUUUAAUUUUUUUGCUUAUUAUCCUAAUAUCGUCAUUUCUUUUUUUUUUACCUACAUGACUAUUUCAUUUUAUUUUGCUAUCACUAUUCCAUGGGUCAUAUCACAAUGUAUUUAUCAUUUUUUACUUUGCCCAAAUAAAUGUAUAUCGUUUUAAAAGUUACAUUCGUUUUACGUAAUACAUAAUAAAUUUUUAAAAUCAAGGCAAUGUUCAUUAUUUUUUGGAUUCGAGGAGUUGUGCUCUUAACUUACGGAGAAUGACAUCUUUCUAAAACCAAAGUAAUCGAAUAUCCAUUUUAUUUAUUUAUUUAUUUAUUUUUCUAAAAAAAUAAAAACAAGACUUAAAAUAAGAUCAAAUGGUGAUUGUUCUGGUUUCCGAGGAUUCCAAGCAUCGUGUCUUAACUCAAGGGUUACGAUCUUUUCUCCUCAACUAACUCAUAAUAAUGCCUUUUCGUAAAAUUUAAUUUAGCUAAUUGGUUUUAAAGAACAUCAUGCAAACAGAGAGGGAUCAUAGUUUAAUUUCUCUUCGAAUUUUCAACUUCCGACAUCAAAACAUCAAGUAAUCAACUAGGUACCAAUUUUGGGCGUUAUGAGAGUGGUAAUCCUUCCUCAUACGUAACUGACUCCUGAACCCUUUUUUUCCAGAUUUGUAAGACUGGAUAUUAUCGUUUUAACAAAUCUAACGUUUUAUUAAAAUGGCUGAGUUUUGAGGUGAUCCAAUCACACCUAAGUAAAAAAUGUUGAUGGCAACUCCAUCUUCGUUUUCAAAAUAAAGUCAAUUUCAAAAAAAAAAAAGUUUCGACAAUAAUUAUAGAUACAAUUGAUGAAUAUAAUAAAAUAUGCAUAUUAAAAUAAAAAUACAUAAACAAUAUUAAAAUAAUGUUUUGAUGGUGAUAAACUUGAAGUUUUAUUAUUGUGAUUGUUAUAGGUUCAAAUCCCCUCAUAUUCGUUUUUAAUUAUUUUUUUAAAAUAAAAAGAUUAAACUACCCUCGAACAAUAUAACUUAUUCUAAUUAUGGAAGAAUAUUUUCGUAAUUUCUCUAACUGAAUUGGUGUUCGGUUGACUCGUGACACCAAUUCAGUUAGAGACUUAAAUAAUAGUAUAGAUAAUAUAAUUUUUGGCCCUCAACUUGGCAAUUAGAUGCACUUUAAUAUUGUAUUAUUUUUGUCCAAUUUUAUAACUAAGCUUGGCAAGUAAAUUCAAGUGGUCACUGAACUUGAAUUCUAUCAAUUUUUGAAGAUGUGAUCGGUGUUAUUGAAGCAAAAUCAGAUCAUUCGGUCAAAUUAAUUAGACUGAAAAGCGAUUGGUAUAACGGUCCAAACAAAGGGGUUGAAUUGAUUGAAUCGGGAAUUAGUUAAAAAUCGACAAUUUAAAAAAUUAUUUUAAAAUUAUUUUUAGAUUUUUAGGAAUUUUUAAUUAAUUAAUUAAUUAUUAUUGGUCUAGUAGUCGAACCGAUUGAAUAAGAAAUCAAUGGUUUGAUCUUUUAACCAUUGGUCCGAUUAUUAAAACACUGAAUGCAAUACUGUGAGAUUGUAUCAUAUCAUCACCUGAAAAUUUAUAUAAUUUUUUUUAAUUUUCAAGUAAUAUAUAUAAUCAUGUCACAUCAUCAAACUUUUAAAAUUUUCAUGUUCAAAAAUUAAAAUAGACCUAAUUGUUAAAUUCAAAUGACAAAGUGGGCCGAAAAAAUCCUAGUAGCCAAUAAUAGAAAAUAUAUAUUAUUUAAAAAAAAUAAAAAUAUUAAAGCGCACCCACGUGGUGAUAUUGCUCUUUGUCCAUAGUUCCCGACAAUAUUGUUUCCGUCUAUCUCCAGCAAAAUGUGUUUUCUAAUAUUUGGCAACUUUUACUUGCAAGACAACGAUGAAAAACACUUAAAUAAUUAGUUCAGUCCUCCUCAUUAAUUGUAACUCGUAAUAGACCUGAUAUUUUGGCUCAUAAUAAUGUCUCACAUUUACUUUCACAUCUAAUCUUGAUGUUUUUAACAAUGGCGUAGCGUAAUGGACAUUCAGGUGCCAUCACAAAAUUACAUUUUUCAAAAAAAAAAAAACAAAAAAACAAAAGGACCAUCUGGAUUCAGUGUUAAGAGAAGAAACAUGCAUGGAUAGUCUUGCUUUUAGCAACCCAUGGAGAUUGGCAGGAGAAAGCUAGAGGAGAGGUGAUUGACAUAUUCGGUAACCGAAAUCCAGAUUCUGAAGGCAUUUCUAAACUCAAAAUUGUAAGCAUACUGUCAAACAUUCCAAAAUAUUUUGUAUCUCAAUCUCAGGUUUUUUAGUCAGGUCAUGUUUAUCGCAAUUGCUAAUUCAACAAAUACUAUGCAUUUAGGACAUUAUAUUCUUUAAUUUGAUUUGACAUAUUCCUGUUAUGCAAACAGAUCACUAUGAUUAUUAUGAAACUCUAAGAUUAUAUGGUCCAUCAAAUGGCCUACCAAGAGGAGUUGCAAGAGAAGUGCAGUUGGGAAUACUAGUCUUGCCUUCUAACAUAGAUCUUCUGGUUCAAAAUAUUGCACUUCACCAUGACCCUUACCUGUGGGGAGAUGAUGUGCAUCUUUUUAAACCAGAGAGAUUUGCAAAAGGGAUUGCCAGAUCUACCAAUUACAAUGCAGCUGCAUUUUUUCCCUUUGGAUUAGGACCUCGAUCUUGUGUUGGUAUGUCCUUUGCAACCACAGAAACGAAGAUUGUGCUCUCCAUGAUUCUACAACGCUACACCUUUACCCUCUCCCCUGCCUAUGUCCACUCACCAAUGCCUAUUGUCGACCUUCAACCGCAACAUGGAAUUCAAGUAAUACUUGAACCACUGCAUAACAAUGAUUGAUGUACACUAACAGCUAAGGACAUGGGAUUCAACUCUGUUUGUUCCAACAUUCACCUUUAAGAGGUAGCAUUUAAGAUAUCCGGGGUUUUUAGUAUUAACAACCCCUUCCCUAUUCCUAAGCUACGCCCUCCUCUAAACAAAAAGAAAUCUAUGCAUUUGCUAGUUUCCUUAGAUGGUAAAACAUGUGAUUAAACAAUACAUCCUUCAUAUGGCGCAUAUUCCAGCAAGUAAACAGUUAUAUUAUAGUGCAUUUUACUUCACCAUUCUGCUCAUAUUUCAUUUGAAUUGCAGUGUUAUCAUCCUAAAGUCACUCUAGCAAGCAAUGAGGUUGCAAGUUUCUGAUAAAUUUAGUUCUAAUAGACUACUUAAGCUAAUCCACCUUGGUGCUUUGUUUUCUUUUCCUAAACUAUAUUUUUUGCUAUUCCUAGCCCAUUUAAGCAUUCAGUUGGAAGAUGGUCGAGAGUUGUUAUAGCAUUCGGAAAGAAAAGGUUAAUGUGUGUUAAGUGACUGUGUGAGGCUAAGGUUAUGAUAAUCUUCAGAUUGGUUCUGCUUAUAUUAUCUAUAAUAUAAAAUUUACUUUUUAAAAAGUUGUUUAACAAGCUUAUAGCUAAAAUAGGAUAUCCAAAUAAAAUAUAUUAACAAAAAGUAUAUUCUUAAAAUCUUAAAAGAGUAACCAACAAGCGUUGGGUGGAAUGAUAAUUGCAAUAUCAAGGGGAGAACUCAAGUUCCAAUUUUAAGGACGACAUUGUUUGAAGGAAUAAUCACAAACCCCAAAAAAGUUAGUCUCAUUGGAUCAUAAACCGAACAUGAGGAUACAUUGGUUCCACAAAAACAUAAUUUUAACAAGUUAAAAUCAUCAAAUUGUAAUAAUAUGAUUCUUUUUACAAAUAUUCAAAUAUCAAGUUAUCUAAAGUCACCGAUUGAGUCUUAACUCGAUUGGCAUUGGCAUGCAGGAGAAUGCGAGUUCGAGUGCGCUGAAGUUAUUAUCCUCUUAAUUAAGGAUGGGGAGGGACUAUGAAUAGUUCUAAAGAUGAAUUAAAUUAAAUUAAAUUAAAUAAUAAAUAUGUUAAUUCAUUUAAUUAAUUCAUUUAUAUUUUUAUACGAAAUUUUUGUAUAAGUGGAAUAUCCACCUUUCUGCUAAACAAAAUGUAUUGAAUUCAUAAUUUAGUAGAUACUUUUUAUGAAUGCCAACUAAGUAUUGUAUGUAAAUUGUCAACUGCUCCUAUCAAAAAUAGGAUUGACUAGAUAUUCGAGUCAUAUACACAUGGUUUCAUAAAACCGUAUGAUUCUCUGAUCUAAAUCAAGCAAGUUUUACAUGAAGAAGGUUUGCCUCAACAUGUUCAAUUCGAUAAAAGUAGAAGCGGUAUUCUUAAAAAAAAAAAGUAGAGAAAUCAAAACCAAGUCAAGAUAACACAGAUCAACCCCUUCUUCGUGCGCCAAAGAUCUUACCAUUUCGGAAGAAAUUGGAAUUACAUCUCUUUUUCAAUUCUAUUCAAGCUCUUAUGUGUUUCUACGACCAUUUAAGACAUCAAAAUUUUGACAAAUUUAUUUUCUUUUAUUAGGAACACAUACAAGAUUCGUCACUUCAAACAAGAUAAUGGUAACCCCACAAUUAAUUACUUCAUUUAUGACUUUCAUAGUAAUAGAAAUAUAUGUCCUACCAGAACACAAUUUUUAACUUGCUACCCUCUUGCAUAGUGGGCAAGGAUUUACUUCGCGGGAAAGAUGAUUUCACGGGGUUCUAUUUUGCCUUCAAUCCAAUCAUUGUUCACGUUUUUUUUCUUAUCAAUAAAUAGAUCUAAUUACUUGUAUGACUUAGAUAUCUCGUAUCUCUCAAAAUAAUGGUUCGAUUGAUGAGAUUUGGUACGAUAUUUAUGAGAUCAAUGAUAUCAAUGAUAUUGAUAUUCAAAUAUUUCUUCUUAGAACGUAUUGAUUUAACCCCAUAAGCAAGACCACCACCCCAUAAUGUUGCCUCCAAAAGCAGAAUCUCGUAUUUUCUCUUGAGAAUCUCUUAAUUGUUCAAGAGUACCUAGAACGAAAUUCUUUAAUUAGAAAGAAUUUAGUUUCGAUGUACGAUACCUAUCCAGAAGUUUUUGCAACUCAUGAUAUAGAAUCAUAAAAAUUUUUUGACUUUUUAAACAAAUAGAUCACUUGGGUGUAGAAAAGAAAUAAUCAAUAAUAAAAAUUGGUAUAAUUAGAAAAGAAUAUCUAUUUGUUCUCACACUAACUUUUAAUAUUUAUAUAUUAUUUUUAUAAAGAAUUAUUAUAAAAAAUUCUUUUAAAAAUUGAUAUUUUUAUAAUACAUCACUCAAUGUUGAAUACAUUUCAUUAAUAAACAAUAAUUAGCUUAAUUAUUAAGAGUUGAAUUAACUAUUUUUUAAUGAAGCAUUCUCUCUCUAAAAUCUCCAUCCUCACCACUAUUCUUAUCUAAUUCACCUUCAAGUUUUAAAAUCAAUGUUCUAUCAUGUUUUGAUUUUCUUUCAAAUUUAUUUUAAAUUUAAAAAAAUUCUUUUUAAAAAUCUCAAAUAUAUUACAUUUCACACUUUUAAGAAAAUAAUGUACGUUCAAACAUUGAAAAUGACAUAAUUAAAUAGGAUAAUCAUGAAUCCUGAAAAUGAACGGUAAAACGAUUUGUCCAAUUCAAAAUUUAGAAUGAUAGAAUCCUAAUAGAAAAUUUAAACUAAAUUUUGACAUAAUUUUUUGAAUAAUCUUAUUACAAGUUCUGAUCAUAUUUUUUUUAACACAAUAUCUAAAACUAAGCAUAACCGCUCCCAAACUCAUAAAAAGGAAGAUAAUGCGCUUCAGUGCAUAUCCUCCUACAUUGACAACAUACCCAUAUCAAUUGAGUUAAAGACUCAAUCAACACUUAAAAAAUAUUUAAAUACAUUAAAAUUAAUUAUUAUAUUGACAGUAAAAGUAUAAAAAAAAAAACUAAAUUUCCAGAAGAAUUCAAAAAAUAUCAUUAAAUAAUAAACGUGUUAAAAUCGACCCACGUGGUAAAGAUGCCGAUUCUAGUGUUUGCCACGAUACGUUGUCUAUAUGGCGCCAAGGCCAUUUUAUUUUCAACAUAGUUACACGCCGUUAAUUGUAAGUUUUGGCUUUAAAUAGUUAUUCAUCCUAUUUAUUUAUUCGUUAAUAUUGUUAAAUUUGUUAACUGUUUUAUUUUAAAAUUAAAAGAAAUUAUUAAUUUAAUAGUUAUGUAACAAAAUAUGAUGUUUGUGAAAUAUUUGUAUUUAAAGAAAGAAUUUUAGCAGUAUUAUCUAGUAGACUUACAUUUUUAAAUUCGAAAAAUAAGAUAAAAUUCUUAAAAAUAAAAAUAAAAGAGUAAAUUGCAAAUUCACGAUAAUUUUUCAAUAAUUUCUUUAGAAAAUUAAUUUUUAGAAAUGAAAAAUAAUUUUAUGAAAGAAGUACAACUUUAUUUUUUCAUAUUUCACAUUGCAUAAUUUUUUUAAAUAUGAAAUAAAAAAUUUCUUCAAAAUUUGAGAAACUUUUAUAAUCUUCAAUUUUUUUUCACUUUACUUUUUAUUGAAUUUCAAAGAGUUUUUACUUCUUUCAUAUUUUUUGAUUUUUUUUUUAAAAGAAAACCUUUUAGAUAUUUUAGAACCUUUAAUAUAUAUUUUAAAAAAUUAUAGUAGUUAAAUAAAUUACACAUUUGGUCAUUUUAUUUUUGAAAAUUUGUAGUUAUGUGACCUAACUUGAAAUUUGUAAAACUAUUAAUAUUUUAUUUCAAUUAAAAUUUCUUGGUUCAUUAAAUUUUUUUAGAUGUUCAAUAGAUUUGAUAAUGGAAUAUAUUUAUUCCAACUUUAAAUUUAAAGAAUAUAAUUAUAAUAAUGUAAAAGUUGAUGUAUAAUCUUAAUUUUGCAUAAACUGUUUUCAAACUUAAAUGAGCUAAAAAUAUAGUUGAAAAAUAGAAAUUAAUGCUACCAACAACUCCUAGAAAUAGUAUCCACUAAUAACAAUAAACUUACACGAGUGAUGGAUUUAUUAAAACAAUCAGCAACCAACUUUUGACUCUUUCUAUCAAUUGAUUAAUAAUUAUUAAAAAAAUUAUAAUUGUAUCUAUCGAUUAAUAAUUAAGAGAUAUGAUUAUUUUAAUAAAUAGUUAUAAUUAUUAUUAAAAAUGUCACUAUUUAAAUAGUGUUAUGAAUAUAUUACUAAGUGGAUGUCCAUCAAGACUAAUAUAAGUUUUGAUGUACUUUAAAUUAUAAUAGUCAUUAGAAGUAGGCUUUGUAAAUAUUCUAAUUGAGUCAUUAAUAAAAUACGCUCUCUCUUUGCUAUCUGACUCUCAUUCUCAUUCUCCUUGUUCUUUAUUCUUUGUCUUUUAUUUUAUAACACGUUAUUAGCACGAUUCUCUUUUUAAUUAUUUUUCUCCAUAAGUCACAAAAAUAUCCAAAAAUUUAUUGUUGCCGAUUGCCUCCUAGAGCUGCUGCGCACACUAUGGGUAAUCAUUAGAGCUUUUAACCAAUUAGGUACACUAAAUCUCUAAAUUUUAUUUAUGUCCUUUUAUGCAAAGAAACUUAUAUAAUCCGUGGUAUGUUUUUCUCCUUUAUUUAUUGAUUUUCGGAAAAUUUAUUUUAUGAAAAAAAGUAUUAUUACUUUAAGGUUUCUUUUAAACUAAAAUAAUAUUUAGAUGUUUAAAUAUUUGAUUGUUAAAUUCCUGUCAUUAAAUAUUCUUGUAAUUUGAUUAAAAUUAUAGUGGAAAGUGUUAUUAACCUACCAUAGUUGAUCUAUUGAGUCUUACUAACUUUCUAAUGUUGAAUGAUUGUAUUAUAUCUUUUAAAUUGAAUUUAUAAAUAUUUGAUUAGAAGCUUCGAAAGACUUUAUAACAUAUAUGUGGUAUUGAAAUUUGGUACAAUGUGUAUUAGAUAACUUUCAAGCAUUGUACACAAACAUUUUGAUUUUGUUUAUUAAAUGAUUUUUUUACUAUUAGAUUAUAAAUGUUAUUACGAAAACAAAUUGUUUUACUACUUGUAAUUAAUAGUGCUCGUGAUAAUAGCCAGGGUGGUAACAAUGAUGUUAAAGAAUCUCAGGUAUAUAUUAUUAUAAUUUAUUAUAUCAUAUUUAUUAUAAUUGAAGACUAAUCAUAACAACAUGAAUAGAUAGAUUUUGUUUUGAAAUCUAUGCCUGUUUGUGAUGGUGAUUAUGAAAUAAAAAAAAUCAAUGGAGGCGUUUAGAAGUAUGUCCUACUAGAUUUGUUGCAUUCCUUGAAGUGAAUACAAACAUAAAGAAAAUAAAAUAUAUAAUCACAGACCACUAAAAGUGGGAACAUAGUAAUAAAUAAGAGAACAAUGAGAGUUCUAAAGAUAACUCUUCAAAGGGUAAAGAUAACUUAUGUUAUCGAUAUGAUAUGAAAUAUUAUUGGCCACAUACGUAUAUCAAAUAUUUUGUUUCUGUUAAUAUUUUUGAGGAAUGAUAUGAGAAUGUUGAAAUGAAUUCUAUUAUUACAGAUAUAAAAUAUUUAUCUUAUUUGGUACUGAAAUAAACAAAUAUUAUUCAAAUAUUUUGUAGUACAAAAUUAGUCUACAGCUCCAGAAGAGCUAAUUUAUUAAUAUAUUGUGAUAAUUAAUCCAUAGGUUUUAAAAGAUAUUCAUUGUAAUGGAUCAUAUAAAGAUAUUUAUCUUAUAUUUCAUAUGAAUCAUUAUUGCUAUAAAUAUCUAUUUUAAAAGGAUUAAAAAAAAGGGAGGAUUGAGUUAUUAAUUAAUCUUGUUAUUAAAAUGAAUUUAUUGUGACUAUCUUUGUAAUCUUCUUUUGUCAUCAUCCCCAUUAAGGGGUUGAAAGCAAAAUAUUUAACUGUGAAAGAUCUAUUUUUGAGCAAUAGAAUAUGGUAAUUCUAUCUAAAGCUUGCUAUGGUUGGAUGCAACUGAAGUUGCAAGUUUUUUAAAACAGUGAGUAUAACUCUACAGUAUUCAGAAUAAGAUCUCAAUUAAAAUUACGUGAAAAAAAUAUUACUGAUGAGAAAAUUUUAAUUUAACCCUUUAAAAAUUACAAAGAUAUAGACUAUUAAAAUAAUAAAUUUAUUUUUUUAUUAUUAUAAAAAUAUACAGUUUAAUUUCGACCUCCCAAUAAAAAUUUCAAAAUCCGCCACUCGAAGGAUACAAAUAAAAAGACCACAGUGAAUUCAAUUAAAUUUAAAUUCUCACUUAAAUCCAAAUUCAAAGUAAAACAAAUGCGACAGAAUGAAUAAAAUAAUGGGAGAAAGUUUUUCAAGAAGUAGAAAUGCAAAAAUAGCUUCAAAAUCUACUCUUACUAAAAAAAAAAAAAAACAAGAAAGAAUUUAUUAUCUUUUAUAAUAUUAAUUUCUCACAUAUAUACGGCCAAGCUACUCUGAACGUACAACGCACCCAUUUGCGUCAUUGCAAACGCAAUUUUGGUCCUUAUGCAAUAAUAAAGGGGGAAAUGGUUCUGGUUUAGACAAGAAAAAUGAAUGCGUUGAUGAAGCUUCUAAUUCUUGCUCCAUGUUGUUUCUUCUUCAUAGCUUUAAUAAAGUUACUUUAUGAUUACCUAUGGAUACCCCUCCGUAUUCAGCAUAUGCUGAAUUCAGAGGGGAUCAAAGGACCUCCUUACAGAUUCAUCCAUGGCAACAACAAGGAAGUUACCAAAAUGAAACAAAAAGCUUUAAGCAAAUCUGUGGGCUUGACAGAUGAUCUAUUUCCCAAAGUACAUCCACACAUUUACACCUGGACCAACAGAUAUGGUAAGAUCCAUGCUUGUUUUUGUCACUAUGAUUUAUAACUUGUAGUUCUAAGAAAAGGUAGACCUUUUUUCUUUUCAUGUUAUUAGGGAAGAAUUUUGUUCAUUGGAACGGUGCUCGACCUGAAUUGGUGAUUUCAGAGCCUGAAUUAGUCAAAGAGGUUCUGAAAAAUAGUGAACAAAUUUUUCAGAAAAAGAAACUUUCAGAUAUUGGUAGGAAGUUCUUGGGGAAUGGUCUUAUAUUCAUUGAGGGGGGAAAAUGGGCAAAGCAUCGGAAGCUGGCCAAUCACACUUUCCAUGGGGAAAGCCUAAAGGUAAGUCUUCCAAAUAUAUAAACUAGGUGUAAUUAAUUUACAAGAAUUAUACAUAGACUACAAUAUUUUGGUAAAAUUUUGUAUUGUUAGCUAAGGAUAAGUUUAUUAUGGACGUUGAAAAAGUGUAGUAAAAACCUACUUUUGAAAAAUUUAACACCGUUUACUACUUAAGAGGUCAAUUUUAAACUUGAUGUUGUAAAAUAAAAGAUUAAAUCAGAGAUUUAAAAAAAGAUUAAAAUCUAGUUUGAAAUAAGAUUUAGUUUGAAAAGGUGUUUAUUUGUCAAAUUUUUUAAUUUGAAAUCAUGAUUUUGUGUUGACAAUUAUAUAUGUCACUACUACUUACAUAUUGGAGGAUUGUUUGGGCAGAACAUGACUCCAGCAAUAAUUGCUAGUGUUGAAACAAUGCUAGAAAAGUGGAAAGGCCAAGAAGGCAAAGAGAUUGAAGUGUACCAAGAAUUUAGGUUAUUAACUUCAGAAGUGAUUUCCAGAACAGCAUUUGGUAGCAAUUACAUGGAAGGGGAGAAGAUAUUUGCCAUCUUGAGAAAGUUGACAGUAAUUAUGAGUCGAAAUCUUUCCAAGACUAGAAUUCCUUUGAUCAGGUAUCUUCCCUCUAAGCUUAAUUAAUCCCAACUUUUACCUUGAUUUCAACUAGCUUUUGAAUGCAACUUUUAGACUUUCACUCCCCAUGGAUUUGGUUUUCUCCUUAUAUAUAGCUGACCCUGGUUUGCUUUUGCAGCAAGUUGUGGAAAUCUGCUGAUUUGCUAGAGUCUGAAAAACUUUCAAAAGAAAUAAAAGAUCGUCUGAUGAAGAUUGUUAAGAAAAGAGAAGACAAAGCUGUGAAUGGAGAAGUCAAUAGCUUCGGCAGUGAUUUUCUUGGAUUACUUCUAAAUGCCUAUCAUGAUUCGGAUGCGAAAAACAGGAUUUCAUUGGAAGACGUGGUAGCUGAAUGCAAAACAUUCUAUUUUGCUGGACAAGAAACUGUUAAUUCCUUACUUGCAUGGAUAGUCUUGCAUUUGGCAAUCCAUGGAGAUUGGCAAGAAAAAGCGAGAAGAGAGGUGAUUGACAUAUUUGGUAACCAAAAUCCACAUCUCGAAGGCAUUGCGAAACUCAAAAUAGUAAGAAAACUAUCUAACUGGGAAUUCAAAUAGCCAUCAACAUUAUGCAAUCUAACAUAUUUGUCUAUUUCCUAAACAGAUGACCAUGAUCAUCAAUGAAACUCUAAGAAUGUAUGGUCCGCCAAAUGGCUUGGCAAGAACAGUUGCAAGAGAAGUACAAUUGGGAAAGUUAGUCUUGCCUGCUAAAUUAGAUAUUCUGCCUCUAAAUAUUGGACUUCACCGUGACCCUCAAUUGUGGGGAGAUGAUGUGCAUCAUUUUAAACCCGAGAGAUUCGCUGAAGGGAUUGCCAAAGCUACCAAUUACACUGCGGCUGCAUUUAUUCCCUUCGGAUUGGGACCUCGAUCUUGUGUUGGUAUGACAUUUGCAUCAAUAGAAACAAAGGUUGCUCUCUCCAUGAUUCUACAACAUUACACCAUUACCCUCUCCCCUGCCUAUGUCCACUCUCCAAUACCUAUUCUCACCCUUCUACCACAACAUGGAAUUCAGGUAAUACUUGAGCCGAUACAUAGUAAUGCUUGAAGUACAUAGCUGUUAAGAAAUAAAGGUUUAACAUGGUUCAUGUAUUUUAGUUUUAAAAGGUGACAUUUAAUAUGUAUAAGGUUCUAGCAUUUGCAACCCCUUCCCUAUCCUAUAGUAUGCCCACCUUCAUACAUAAUGAAAUGCAAGUAGCUACUUAUUUCCAAGAUGGUAAAACACACAAUCAAUAAAGAAGAAUAUGUCGAGGCAAGUUUUGGGAACAGUGACUCAAGAAAUGACAACUGAAUUUGACACGUACAGAUCACAUAACUUCUCUUUUUUGUUAGCAUAUGUUGGUGAUUAGAACUCGAACUUUGAUGAUUGAUCGAGAGAUUUGAAGCAAAAAGAAGAGAAAGGAAGUUUUAAGAUAGAAAGUAAUUGAAGACUGAAAUAAUAAUGGAUUUGCUCCUCAAUGACUUAAAUACAAAAGUUGAAGACUAAAAAUAGAAAAAAAAAGGUUCUAAAAAUCUGCUAAGAAUCUGGUAACAAUAAACCAAACAAAUCGUAAAACUAAGCUCCUAAAGUAAAGGAGAAUUAUUCAAACUUAGCAACAAAAAAUUAAAUGGCAGCAAUUUUAAACAUGUGAUCUCAACACUUUCUUUAUUUAGAUGCUGCAAACUCCAAGUUUCUUCCUGAAGCUUUCAAACUUGCUAAGUGGCAAUGGUUUGGUGAAGAUAUCUGCAAUUUGAUCUUCAGAUUUGCAGUAACAAAGAGACACAUCACCACUCUUUUGAACUUCUCGAACAAAAAAUAACUUGAUGUUGAAAUGCUUAGUCUUCCCAUGAAAGACUGGAUUGUUAGAGAUUGCAAUGGCAGCUUGGUUAUCAACUAGAAUCUCUGUGCUUUGCUUCUGCUCCAUGUUUAGAUCAACAAGAAUCUUCCUUAACUAGAGAGUUUGGUUAACUGAUGCUGUUGCAGCCACAAAUUCUGCCUCAGCAGUGGAUUGAGCUACAAUUUCUUGCUUCUUCAAGCUCCAAGAGAACAUGCCUGAUCCAAGGCAAAAACAAUAACCAGAGUUACUCUUCAUAUCAUCAGUUGAGCCACCCUAAUCAUUGUCAGAGAAACCAAUUAACUUUAAUUCCCUGUGCUUUAAAAACUUCACUCCAUAACUCCAGGUCCCCUUGAUGUAUCUGAUAACUCUUUUUGCAGCUUUCAUGUGAGUCUCAUUAGGACAAUGCAUGAAUCUAGAGAGAAUACUUACAACAUUCAAGAUGUCGGGUCUGGUUGCUGUUAAGUACAUUAGACAACCUACCAAACUCCUAAACUCAGCUUCAAUGACUUUGGCAGAACCAUCAUCUUUGAUUAGCUUCUCUUUUUUAUUCAUAGGAGUGCUCAUUGCUUUUCAAUAUUCCAUAAGAAAUUUUUUAAGUAUCUCCUUUGCAUAGUUUCUUUGACAGAUGAACACUUCAUCUUGGCAUUGUUUGAUCUCAAUGUCAAGGAAAUAAGACAUCAGACCAAGAUCUGUCAUUUCGAAGACCUUUUUCAUUUCCAAUUUGAACUGAUUAACUUGAUCGAGAUUGCUGCCUGUAAUCAAUAAGUCAUCUACAUAAAGAGAAAUGACUAAAGUGUUUGUACCUUCAUGCUUUACAUAUAGUGUGAGCUCAGAUUGACUUUUCUGAAAGCCAAUGCCCACCAAAUGAUCAUCAAUUCUGCUAUACCAUGCUCGUGGAGCCUGUUUUAGGCCAUACAGAGCCUCUUCAGCAAGUAAACUUUGUCUUCAUUGCCUCUGUUUACAAAACCUUCAGGUUGCUCGACAAAGAUUUCUUCUUGCAAGACUCCAUUUAGGAAUGCAGAUUUAACAUCUAACUGAAAAACUUUCCAGUUCUUUUGUCCAGCAAGAGCAAGCAGUAACCUUACAGUGUCAAGCCUGGCAACAGGUGCAAAUGUUUCUGAAUAAUCGACUCCAAAGACUUGUGCAUAUCCCUUCACAACAAGUCUUGCUUUGAAUUUGUUAACUGAACCAUUGGGAUUUAGUUUCGUUCUGAACACCCAUCUUACUCCAAUUAUCUUUUUGUCCAAAGGUUGAUCAACCAGCUCCCAAGUUUUGUUUUUCUCAAUCAUCGAAAGCUCCUCUUCAUUGCAACCAUCCAAUGUUGACUGUUUUUUGCAUCAUGAUACCCUGCAGGCUCACAAAUAGCUACGUUACAUCUUUGGUAAAUGUCGGAAAGCAGCCUUGUACCUCUGACAGGUGUAUCAUCAGCCAAAACAUCUUGCCCUUCAUCUUCAAGCUCCUCUAAUGUGCUGCCAAUGGUAAAAUGAUCUGGUGCACUAGAAGCUUGGUUCGUCUUGGUCGAGUCUUCCCAAUUCCAUUGCUCAUUUUCAACAAAAUAAACAUCUCUGCUCACAAUAACAUGUCCAGUGUGUGGUUGAAAUACUCUGUAAGAUUUAGAUACAGUGCUAUACCCAACAAAAAUGCCAGCUUCUGCCUUUUUGUCAAGCUUAUCACGCUUGACCUGUGGAAUGUAAGUGAAACACAGGCAACCAAACACUCUAAGGAACUUUAAAUAAGGUUUGUAACCCUACCAAGCUUCAAAUGGCAUCUAAUCCUUCACAGCUUUUGUUGAAAUCUGAUUUUGCAAGAACACAGCAGUGUUUGCAGCUUCUUCCUAAAAGCCUUUUGGAAGAUUCUUCUCAUAAAGCAUACACCGAGUCAUCUUCAUUAUGAAUCUGUUCCUCCUUUCACUGACUCCAUUUUGUUAUGGAGUGUAUGGCACCGUCAACUGAUGCUCAAUUCCAGCCUCUUCACAAAACCUAUUAAAAGUUUCUGAAGCGUACCCCUUGCCAUUAUCAGAUCUUAAAAUCUAAAUCAUGCAUCCACUUUCAUUCUCAACUUUGGUUUUGAAUUUCCAGAACACACCAGCAACUUCUGAUUUUUAUUUCAAUAAGAAAAUCCAACACAUUCUUGUUAGAUCAUCAAUAAAGGCUAUGUAAUAGAGGUUACCGUUUAACGAUGGCAUUCUCUGAAGACCACAAAGAUCGGUAUGAACAAGCUAUUCGAGGCUCUCCAGGCUUGUUUAGGAAAGGGUUGUCUAUGUUGUUUCCCAAAUUUGCAAGAUCGACAAUGAGGUAGAUCAUCAUCAAUGUCUAUAAGUCCUUCUACCAGCUUCUUUGACUGCAUUUGAAGCAAUCCUCGAUGGUGAAAGUGCCCAAGUCUCUUGUGCCAAGUCUCAGUGGCACUAACUCUGGAUUUAAAAGCCAUUUGCUCCUUUUCCAUUGGAUUAAGAUAAAAAAAUUUUCCCUUCAUUUUGACAUUAAACAAGUCUCUGCCAUUAGCAUCUCUGAUCAAGCAUUGCUUAUUCUCAAAUAGCACUUUAUAGCCUUUAUCCAGUAACUGACCAACACUGAGGAGAUUUUGAUCAAUUUAGGUGCAAACAAAACAUCUGAAAUGAAUUUUGUACCUUUAUAGCUUGUAAUAGCUAUGCGCCUUUUCCCUUGACUUCCAAGUACUCAUCAUUUUCAAUCCUCACUAUUUUGACUUCAGUGUUUCUCAAUUCCUCGAAGAGCUCCUUGUCAUACGUCAUGUGAUUUGUGCACCCACUAUCAAUCAACCAUCUCUCACUUGAUUCUCUGCCUGAGAAACAAGUAACCACAAACAAUCGAUCUUCUUCUUCUUGAUCAGCUACCUGUGCAUCUACUUCUUGCACCUGGCCUUUGACCUUGCAAACCACUGUUUUAUGUCCAAGUUGAUUGCAUUUGGAGCAUUUAACGUCAGGUCUUUUCCAACAUUUGAAUGGUAAAUGACCUUUCUUCUCACAAUGGUAAUAAGGUGGGUAGGAUUUCUUGACACCUCCUCUUUUGCUCUUCUGAUAAUUGCCUGAUGAAUUUUCUCUACUCGUCGACUGGUUCCUAAAAUUUUUCUUCUUUUUAUACCUGUUGUUGUCUUGAUGCUUGACAAGUAAGGCACCUUCUAUCACUCCCUCUUGCCUCAUUAGUCUUCUUUGCCCUUGUGCUUGUAAAGCAUUCAAGAGCUCUGCAAGAGAGAUCUUUGACAGGUCCUUGGUGUUCUCCAGAGUAGUAAUGGUGGCUUCAAGCUUCUCUGGAACAGUAACCAGCAGCUUUUCUACGAUUCUAGAGUCAUUCAACUCAGAACCAAGCAAUCUCACCUUGUUGGCAAUGCUGAAAAGUCUGUCAGAAUAUUCUUUCACUGACUCAGACUCCUUCAUCUUCUGCAACUCAAAAUCCCUGAUUAGAUUUAGGACUUUCAUUCCACAAAUCCUCUCAUCUCUUGCAUACUCAGCCUUUAAGUAAUCCCAGAUUUCCUUUGCUGAUUUCAGAGACAUUAUUCGUGUGAAAAUCAUUUGAGACUCAGCUGCAAAUAAGCAAGCUUUUGCCUUUGAUUUCCUUGUCUUCUUUUCCUUUUAUGCUUUAAUCUGUGCCACAGUAGGAUUUGCUGAAAGUGGUGGGACCUCGUAAUCCGCUUCUACAGCUUCCCAAAGAUCCAAAGCCUCCAAGCAAGUCUCCUUACGAACUGCCUACAUCUGGAAAUUGUCUCCAUUGAAGACUGGUAGUGCAGCAACUGAAAAACUAGACUCUCCUUCCAUCUUAACACGCAAAUAACCUCAUAGAUCCCUUAAGAAAAUAGCUCCGAUACUAAUUUGUUGGUGAUUAGAACUCGAACUUUGAUGAUUGAUUGAGAGAUUUGAACUAGAAAGAAGAGAAAAGGAAGUUUUAAGAUAGAAAGUAAAUGAAGACUGGAAUGGUAAUUGAUUUGCACCUCAACGAUUUAAAUAAAAAAUUCAAGACUAAAAAUAGAAAAAAAAGGUUCUAAAAAUCUGCUAAGAAUCUGGUAACAAUAUACCAAACAAAUCGUAAAACUAAGCUCCUAAAGUAAAGGAGAAUUAUUCAAACUUAGCAACAGAAAACUAAAUGGCAGUAAUCUUAAACAUGUGAUCUCAACAGCAUGUUUGAAAAAAAAAAUAUUUUGAUUACUUACUUGCAUAUUUUUGAGGAUUUUGUGCAUCCAAUCUUGUGUUUAUUAUUUGAUUAAUCUCAGAUUGAUUUUUCUUAAACUAGUGGUUAUACUAAGGCUUGUUAGCGGAUUAAACUUUGGGCAAAGCAAUAUAGAUGUAGAUCUGUUUUCCGUGACGGGAUUUGAAUCUACUAAAAAAAAUUCCUACGCUUGAAACCAAAAUUAAAUUUUAGUAUAUAGAAUAGGGUCGAUCCCACAAAGGUUAAUCUAUCUAAAUCUAUAUUUCUUUAUAACUAGAACAUGUCCCAAGCAGUUUUUAUGCCCAUGACUUGUGCCAACUUGUACGAAAAACAAAAGGGAAUUAAAUCUGAAAAAUGAAUAAACAAAAAAUAUAAAUUAAUAAUGAAAAUGAAGUAGAAAUAAGUAAAACGAAAUUAAAAUUGAAUAAACCGAUAAAACAAAAGCUCUAGCUUCAAGCUUGAAGCUCGAUUUUGACUCUGUCUUCAAACUAAUCACAAAGAAUGAAUUUUUUCCUUCAUUAAUAAGUCAAUUGUAGAUACCAAGAAACAAGCUCAAACCACCUAAUUCUUUCAUAGUGGUAAAUUAAUUGCUGGAACAGCUCGACGACUAAGCCUUAUAAAGUGAAUAACCUUGAAAGCAGCAUUCGUGAUUUAAUUCAUUAGUAGCCUUGCGAACUAGAAGAACCUGGCUUAAAUCAACGACCUCAAUUGUAUGAGUCAUUUAAAAUUAAUUAUUAACUUCCUUGAUGGAUCCAACCACUCAUGUCAAUUUGUUCUUCAAUGGAUCUAAUACAACAAUUACAAUCACAUUGAUUCUCUAACUGUAUGUCCUUCAACACUAAACCAAGGGACUCUUCUUGAUUUUGAUGCUAAAAUAACAUUGAGAAGUAAUUGAGUUUAUCUUUUAAUUGGAGAAUUAACAAAUACCGAAAUGGAGAAUAUAAACACGAUUUUGAAAUUUCACCGUUCAAAUAUCGGAUCAAUUAUCAAUCUAAAACUAGGUUAAAUUUAACUUCUCAUAAAUUAAAAAACAAGAAAAGAAAAUCGUUGAAGGAGAAUAUUUAAUUGAAAUAAAAAACACUAAAAUAAAAUCAAAACAAUAGUUAAAUGAUAAGGUUGCUUUGAAACUGGAGUUGCCAUUUUCGUUGGAGGAGAUAAAAAAGGCAGUGUGGAGUUGCGAUGAGUCGAAAGCAUCUGGGUCGGAUGGCUUAAAUAUGUGCUUUUUUUAGAAAAUGUUGGGAUGUUGUAAAAAAUGAACUUUUUAGAAUGAUACUAGACUUUUUUAGAUCUAGAAAGCUUGAGAGGAGCAUCAAUUCUUCAUUUAUUACACUCAUAUCCAAAACCAAAAAUCCAAAUAAAAUAUCAGAAUUUAGACCAAUUUUUUUGGAGAGCUCGUUGUACAAGAUAGUGGCAAAGGUGUUAUCUCGAAGAAUUAGGGAGGUUGUUGGAGAGGUAGUGAGAGAAACACAAUGUGCAUUUAUCAGAGGUAGACAAAUAUUCGAUGAAAUUUUAAUUCUAAAUGAAAUUAUCCAUUCGAUUAAAAAGAAAAAUGGUAUGGGGGCAAUCUGAUUUUUAAACUGGAUUUUUCUAAAACAUAUUAUUGUGUUUGUUGGGAUUUUUUUGAGUUAGUUUUACUCAAGAUGAGAUUUGGCCAGAAAUGGAUAGGAUGGAUUAUGGAGUGUGUAUCUAUGGUGAGAGUAGCAAUAAUUAUCAACGGGUCAACCACAAAUUAAUUUAGAUUCCGCCGAGGUCUCCGUUAAGGACAUCUGUUAUCUUUAUUUUUAUUUAUCCUAGUGACGAAAGUGCUAUAUUUGUCGAAGGAUAAAGUAGUGGAGAUGGGGCUAAUUUAGGGCAUUCAAGAUGUUAUUCCCGUGCAGAUUUUUUCUCAUUUACAAUUCGUGGACGAUACUAUACUAUUCUUGAGAGGAGAUGAAGAAGACGUGAGAAAUGAUAAGUAUAUUUUACGGUGUUUUAAGAUCUUUUCAAGUCUUAGUAUCAAUUUCAAAAAAUCAUGUUUAGUAGGAUUUGAUGAGAAUGAAGAACUCUUAUAUCAAAUGGCUACAAUAUGUUAGUGUAAGAUAAGAUUUUUGCCUUUUAAUUAUCUAGGGAUUCCAUUGGGAGCAAAUCUGAGGAGAGUAUCCACUUGGGAUGCAAUUGUAGAGAGAUUCAGGAAGAAAUUAUCGGGAUGGAAAUGCCAUAUGCUCUCGUGGGCUGCAAGGAUUGUGUUGAUUAAUGUUGUUUUAUCUACCUUGUUGAUUUAUUUCAUGUGUAUAUUCCAAGCUCCAGUGACAGUUAUUAAAAGGACCGACAAGAUAAGGAGAAAUUUUCUUUGGGGGGGAGUAUAAAUGGUAAAAGGAAGAUGGCGAAGGCAAGCAGGAAACAUAUAUGUAAGCCAAAGGAGAAGGGAGGAGCGGGAGUGGUGAAUCUCAUAAUUAAAAAUAGAGCUUUAUUAGAAAAAUGGAGUUGGAGAUUCGCGGUUGAAAAAGAUGCAUUGUGGCAAAAACUCAUCCUAGCAAAGUAUGGUUCGCGCCCGCAACAAUGGCACUUUAGGACGACUAAUCUAAAAGUUAUGUCGAUUGUAUGGAGAGGUAUUGUAGAAAAUUCUAAAGACGCUAAUGGUUCUAAAUGGGUGGGGAACGAAGCUUUUAGAUGGAUGGUUGGGAAUGAAAGGAUGGCGGUGUUUUGGGAGGAUAUUUGGUCCUGUAGUCAACCACUAAAAAUGGAAUUUCCUAGAGUGUUCCGCUUAGCAAGACGAAAGAAAGGUAUGGUAGCAGAUUGCUCGAGCAACAAUGGUUUCACCACCAAGAGUGUGAAGUUUUCUAUGGAUGCUUGCUAUUGAUAGAAUUCCUACAAAGGAAUUUCUCGUUAAAAGAGUAGUGUAGCUUCAACACAUUUCGAUCGAAUGUCCAUAGUGUGAAAGAGUACCAGAGAGAGCAUAUUAUCUAUUCUUCAAAUGGAAAUAUAUUGAAAGGUUCUGGUAUAAAUUUUUCAAAUGGUGGGAGGUUGAAUGGAAUUCGAUAGAAGGAUUUGCUGAUUUUUAUUCUUUGUGUUAUAACGUGAAACUGUUAGGAGCCCGAAAAAGUUUAUGGUUGUUAUCGAUUUCGAUAGCUUGCUAGUCAGUGUGAAUAGCAAGAAAUGAAAUUGUCUUCGAAAGAAAGGUGACGACUAUGGAAGCUUUGAUAUUUCAAUCCAAGAUGAGGGCAAAGUUGUGGAUAAGGUUUGUAUAUAUAUGAUGAGUAAAUGGUGCAAGAGAGCUCUUGGUGGAUUUGUCCGAACAAGUGCAAAUUUGAUACAAUUAAACCAAAUCCUCUUCGUCGAUAUGACGCCCUCCUCCACAAGGCUAUCCAAGUUUCAAUGUAUGUGGGAUAGAAAAUGAGGAAGUUACAGGUUGUGGUGGAGUACUAAGAGAUAUAGAGGGUGUUGCAAGAGCUUUAUUUUCGGGUCCUAUUGUAGCUAAUGACACAAAUUCAACAGAGGUAGGGGUAGUGUUUAUAGCAUUGGAUUUGUUCUUAUCCAUGGGAUGGAAGAUUAAUAGCUCUCUUAUUGUAGAAAUUUGUUCAAAAAUGGUGUACAAUUGGUGUCUGAACAAGGAUAUGAGACCGUGGUUGUUACAAACAACAUUUUCAGUUAUUGAGAGGAAAAUUGAGCAGGUUGGUAGUGUAGUAUUCUCGAUGGCAGAUCAAAAACGUAAUGAAAUGGCUUCAACCUUGGCAAUAGCAGGUAUUAAUCGUGGUGACAUGUUCAAAGCUUGUUAGUGAGUAUUAGCUUUGAUGUUGAAUAUUAGUUUUCGAUUGUAGGAAAUGUUUCAUUGUGGUAUUUUGUAACUUGUUUCUUUUAAGUGUUGUUCUUGUUGUAUUUACAACAGAUUAGUUUGAAUGAAGCAAAAAAAAAAAAUUUUGGUGGGUACCGUGUGCCCCCUCUCUUCACGCCUUACUAUAUAAUAAUAAUAAUAAUAAUAAUAAUAAUAAUAAUAGACAAGCUUAAGAAUAUAAGAAGCCUUUACUCAUUCCCUAAGAUAAAAUUUAAUCCUCAUUAAUAUCUUAAAGAGAAACAUUUUUCCAUAAAAAUAAAAAUAAAAAAUAAAAUAAUCCUAAAUUUUAAAUGUCUUAUAUGUCAACUUCUCAAUCCAACUAUAAAUUUACUUUUUUAUAUUGUACUCUAACACUUCGAACAUGUGCUAUAUUUAUAUAGAAAAUAGUCAACAAAGUACCAAAGUAGUAGCAUCCAUGUCCAAAAUUAAUCAGAAUAAAUCAUUAAAAAAUAUCUAUUAAGAACAUUAUCACCCCCCUUAAUCAAUACUUGCCCUUAAACAUUUCAUGCAUUCAUCAUCUAAACAUAUCACAAUCAUCCAAGCCAUUUCUUGCAUUCAUCAUCUAAACAUAUCACAAUCACCCAAGCCAAUUCAACUUUCACAGUCCUCAGUUCAAUAAAAAAAUAAGCAUUAUCAAAAUUUUGACCGUACAACCGUCUCCCUCAAGCAAGCACAUAGAUUAACAAUUUAUGAUAAGUGCUAAAAGUAACAUAUUUUAACCUCGUUUUGUAACAUCUUGGAAUUUGGGGUUAGAAGUUUUGAGGUUUGUAGUGAGGGUCAGCAAGUAGGUUGAACAAUUGGGUUUAUUUUCGCGUUUUAACAUCAAAAUGAGUUUACUAAUUUGGUGGUAGAGUAUGUUACUAGUUUGCCUUGGUCUAGUGUUUGAAUCCCGAUGUGAGAAUAAAGGAAGUUUUAUUUUAAAUUUGUUUCUUUUUGUGUUAACUUAUUUUUAUUUAGAUUUUUUAUUUGAAAAAAAUAGAAGAAAAUCCCAAAAAUUUCUCACGUUUUCCACUUUCUCUUCACAUCAGUCUUUCUCCUUCUUCCAGUAAAUAAAAAUUAUAGAUUUUGAUUUUCUUUCUUUUUUUAUUGGGUUUCAAUACUUUUGUAAACCGCUGCCUUCAAAUACUAGUGGUGCUUUUGUUCUUCGUUUGAUCAGACGUCGAAUCGGGUGAGUGUAGGGAUCAUUUUGUAUUUAGGUUUAUGCGAUUAAUUCUUGGUAAUUUGAUAUAAGGUUUAGGUCGGAAAUUUUUGUAGCUUUAGUAUGUUUGCGGAACUGAGUUUCAGGUUGUUACAGUAAAGGCCAAGUGGUCGAUUCUUGGUGCUCUAAAACAUCAUUCAGGUGUGUGUUUUGAAACUGUUUAAUUUCAGUAUUGAAUUACUGUUGGAUUUUAUGGAAUUCAGCAGUUUCUAGUGUGUUUCUAAAAUUGUGUGAAUUCAGUAAUGAAUUGCUGCUGGAUUUUGGGAAAAUCUACAAAAUUCUUAUGUGUCUUGAAUGGUUUGUGAUUAGGGUUCAUUUUGCUAUUGCAAAAUUGCGAUUUCAACUUGUUUCAAUGUGGUUUCAUGACCAUACUGGUGGGCACACGAGUGUGUGCAGCACACAGGUGUGUGUAGCACAUGGGUAGUCCACACAGUCAUGUAACAUUGGGAAUUAGGGAUUUUGGAUGUUUUUUAGUGCCACACGGUCGUGUGGUGGCUAUUUGGGGAUUUUUUUCAUUUUUCACAUGGACAUGUGCCUUCGACACACGGUCGUGUCCCUUAGCCACACGGGUAUGUGAGAUUCCCACACAAGCGUGUCUACUAUGCUCCUUAUUUUGACACUUUUGGACAAUGAGUUACGCGGAUUAUCAACACGGCCAUGUAACUCGGUCACACUGAUGUGUCUCCUCCAUACGAGCUUGUGUAGCUUGCACAUGGGCGUGUAAACCACCACAUGGCCUAGUAGACCUCCACACGACCUAGUCACUCCCACACGGACGUGUGGCUCUGUUUUGGAAAUUUUUGUUUUGUGUUAAAAUUUGGCUCGUUUUGUGUUUCUGUAUGUUUCGACCCUCAGUUAAGCCUUGGUAACUGUAUUGAGGACUCCGCUAUGAUAUGGAUUUAAAUGUGUAUGUGUGUGUUCAGUUUAGGUAAUUGGGAAAUGUAUUAAUGUGUAUGUGUAUGUGUAUGUGUGUUUUGCAAAUUUUUGUUCUGUGACAAUUGGUAUUGGACUAAGUUUUAAAGCUACUAGUUGAGAUGAAAAAAGGAGUAAAAGAGCAGAUUGAACCCAGAGAGACCCAUGAGAGGGGCAGAAAAGAUAGUAGAUCGAGGGAUAUGCUGUCGACUUUGAAAGGUCAAGUGACUAAUCUCGAGGAAUCCAUAAUUUGAGUUCUUGAACUCAAAAUAAGAGAAUUUAACGUGCAUUUUGAAAUUAAGAAAUCGAUAUUUUAUUAGUCAGAAAAAAUUUUAACCCAAAAAUACUUAAACCCUAUCUAAAAUUAUAUUAUAAAUAAACUAAUUUUUCAAAUUUAAAAACUGAGUAGUUCAAUAAACUUGAAUUAAUAAAUUUUCCCUAUUUGUACAUUUAUGACCACACAUGAUAAUGGGUAAGAUAAGGUCCUAACGGACUUUGUUUAAUAUAUAAAGGUAAGUGAUAAUUGUAGCAAUUCUUGCUACUGGAGCAUAGGUAUCAAUGUAAUCAAUACCUUGUUUUUGUGUAAAACCUUUGGCUACCAACCUUGCUUUAAAUUUAUCAAUGGUUCCAUCGACCUUCAUUUUCUUUUUGAAGAUCCAUUUACAACCUAUUAGUUUGGAACCUGGUGGAAGAUCAACUAAGAUCCAUGUUUGAUUUCCCAUUAUUGAAUCCAUCUCAUCAUUUAUUGCUUCCUUCUAAAAAGUAGAGUCUUGAGAUUUCAUUGCCUCUUCAAAUAUAAUAGGAUCAGAUUUCGUAUUAUAAAAAUAAGGUAUCUUAUUGCAUAUACAUUCACCUUUACCUUCUACAAGAAACAUAAUGAAAUCUGGUCCAAAAAUUUUUGACCUUUUAAUCCUCUUACUUCUUCUUAAUUCUUGAGAAGAUUCAUCAUCAUUAUCAAUUUGUUCCAAUGGGAUCUUUUUCUCAUUUGAACAAUGAAUCAAUUGUUGUGGCUGUAAUUGUAACAACUCGGUUUUAGUUAAAUUAGAACAAUGGUUUUGAAACCACAAAUCUGAGGUCAAAAAUUCAUUUUAAUAUUAUUUUUGGUAUUUACAGCAUGUGAUUAUAUAUGUGUAAAAGUUUCGUCAAGAAAUUUUACUGUUUGAAUGCUUAAUUCGGCAAAAGGACUAAAUUGCGUAAAAUGUAAAAGUUGUGUUCUAUAAGCUAAAGGUGUCUAAGAGCUAUAGAACAUUAAAGUAAAGGUCCUUAAGUGGUAAAUAGGAUAUUUAUGAGUUAGUGUAUGAUAGUGGAGUGACAUUUGGUAUAAUUACUAAUGUUUUUAAUGGUAAAAUGGUAAAUAAGUAAAUUAAUGAUAAAAAAAAAAAUUUAAAGCCACCAUCUUUAUUCAUCUUCCCCAACCGAAAUUUACAGCAAUAAGGAAGGCUUUGGGAGCUUGAAACUUUUGGUUAAUAAAUCUCUUGUGUGUAAGUGAUUUUUAAGCCCGUUUUUGAUAAUUUUUAUGUUUUUGAGAUUGUUGCUUCAUGUUCUAGCUAGCCCAUGCCCUAAUUUUUGAAUUGGUUUGAUGAAUUUGUGAGUUACCAUUGAUGAUAGAUUGAUGUUUUUGAAUGUUGAUGAUGGAAAAUGAAUAAUUGUUGAUAGAUAAAUAUGUUUUGUAAAGUGAUUUUUGGCAAAAAUGUCAAAUGGAGAUAAAUUGUGAAAUAUGCCAGUUGAGUGGUUCAAAUGUGAAAUAAAUAAAAGUUUUGGUCUGCUAGGGGCACUAUAGUAAUUCGGCUAAGCUUGGGUUAUAUUGAAUUGUGUAAAUUUUGUAUAUUUGUCAAAUAGGUACUAAAUUGAAUAAAUGUGAAACUUUAGGGGCUAAAGUGCAAAAAUUUUCAAAUAGGUAUUUUUGGAUGAAAUUGAAUGAAUAGGUGAUUAAAUGAGUUAAAUUUGAAUUCACGUAAAUCAACAAAGAAAGAAAUCAGAUUUAGAUCGGGGGAAAUCGAAAGUUGACGAGUAGUUGAUCCGAUCCGUUCGUUUCUGUAUGAGGUAAGUUCAUAAGUAAAUAAAUAUUUUUGAAUUCAAAUAUAUAUGUUUUGUAUAUUGCCGAAUUGAUUUAUAUGUAUAUAUAUACAUUGUCGAAUUGAUUUGUCUAUGUAUAUAUAUAUUGCCGAAUUGAUUUGAGCAUUGGAUGACUGGUUUCGUGCAUGUAUUGAUUUAAUUACGAAGUCGAAAGCUCCGAAUGAAUCUUAGGAAAUGUAUAGGAUGAUGAUUUCAUGAUAUUAGGACUUCCGAGGUGUGAUUUCGUGUAAGACCAUGUUUGAGACAUUGGCAUCGAAGUGAGAAAAUCUAUAAGACCAUAUCUGGGAUAUGGCAUCGGCAUUGAUUUAAGAUCCCGUAUAAGACCAUAUCUGGGAUAUGACAUCGACAUCGAUUCGAGAUCCCAUAUAAGACCAUAUCUGGGAGAUGGCACUGGCAUUGAUUUGAGAUUUCGUAUAAGACCAUAUCUGGGAUAUAGCAUCGUUAUGAGACUUCGUGUAAUACCAUAGCUGGGAUAUUGGCAUCGAUAUGAGAUUUCCAUGUAAGACCAUGUCUGGGACAUGGCAUUUGUACGAUACAUUAUGUACGAGUUUUCCCGAGUAUCCUUAGUAUUCCAAGUGGUUCAACAGGUAAUCCAAAGAUUAUGUCAAAGAAAAGACAAGGUAUGAUCAUAUUGAAUGGAUACAGGUAUGUACGAAAAAUUCAUGAGUAAUGAACUCAAUGUAUUUUGGACAUUUGAUAAGAAUGUAAAUGAGUAAGUCAUACUUGUAAGAAUGAUAUUGUGAUGACCUUGUGAUUAUAGGUCUAUACUUAUGAGGUAUAGAUUUGUGGUAAAUUUGAUUGAUGAUUGUGCGAGGCUUUUAGGCCAAAUUAAAUUGAGACAUGAUAUGUUUAAGUCUUUGUUGUUGAUGUAUAGGUGAAAUUGGCCAAUGAUUGGCAUGUAAAUAUAUGAUAAUGAUUAGCUAUUGGAAUGGCUAGUUAUGGAUAUGUUUUGGUGUUAUGUGUGUCUAAAUAAAUGUUAAUACAAAGAAAUCAUGAAAGAGUAAAAUUUGCAAUAAAAUAGUUUUGGACAACAGCUGUUGUAUAAAUUUGAAAAAUCACCAAAAAUUGUAGGAAUUGCAUUAGAGGUUGAAUAAGACAUUAAAAUGAAUAUUAUUGAGUCUAGUUUCACAUAGAAGAAACGGUGUAAGCAAAAAAAUAUGAUAUUAUGAGAUAUUUGAAUUUUUGUGAGAUAAGGUUAGAAUGAUUUCGGAAUCCCCAAUUCUGAUUUUGGAAAAUUAUUAAACAUUGUAUAAAAACAAUUAUGGGUUAUAAUUUAUAUGAUUAAAAUUCUUAAUGAGUCUAUUUUCAAUAGAAACAAACGGGAAUAUCAUUCUUAAUUUUGAAAAUUUUAUGGUAAGAAGAUAUGUGAGUCUAGUUUUGGUAAAAUCAAGUGGAUCUUAAUUUGGAGUUCUGUAGCGCAAGAUAUAAAUAAUUUAGGUAAAAUCAAGUGGAUCUUAAUUUAAAGUUCUGUAGCACAAGAUAUAAAUAAUUUAGUGACUAUCACUUGAGUAGACAGCUUGAUGUAAACAUGAGUAAAUAGUGCAACUCUGUGCAAUUUUGAUUGUAUUACCUUGAGAUAUGUUGUGAGGAUUGGUAAAAGCAUGCUAACAGAUUUCUUAUUGUUUACUUACCAACUUACUAAGCUAUAUAGCUUACCCCCUUUCUUUCUUUUUCCUAUAGUGUCACAGAUACUAGCUCGGGUUGGAGAUCGUCGAAGAUUCUAUCACACUAUCAAGCUAUUGAUCGAUAUCAACAUAUUCAAACAUUUUAAGUUUAUGGCAUGUAUAGGGACUCAGUCAUUUUGUGUAUGAGUUAUUAUGUUUUGGCCAAAUGUUUUGGUUUGUAAUGGUUAAAGGUUUGAUUUUAUGUGUAGCCAUGUAACUUGACUUAUAUUGGCUAAUUGGUUGUAAGCCUAUAUAUAUAUUAAUUAUAUGCCAAUGUCUUGUGAUGUGAGUUGCGUUUGCAUGAUACAUGAUGAGUUGUGGGUAUGGCCUAAAUUCCUAAUGGUUGUAUGUGCUGCAAGUCUUGAUGUCCAAUGGCUAAGUUUUACUCAAUGGUAUGGUAUGUUAAUUAGAUAUAAUUAUGCUAGUAUAAGAGUUGUUGAUGAUGUAUAUGUAUAAAUAGUUUUAAAUUGAAUGAAAUUUUAUGGCCCGGUUUUGUAUGGUUGCUUAUGUUUAAGACAGGUAAUGCCUCGUAUCCUGUCCCGACGUCGGACACAGGUAAGGGAUGUUACAGUAAUUGUCUUGAUAUAAAAUUAAAUCUAUUUUAAUCAAAAAUAGCAUCUCUUGAUUCAAUAACAGUAUUAAUUGAAACUGAAUCAUUUGGUUCAAUUACCAUGAACCUAUAUGCCUUGCUAUUAUGUGCAUAACCUAUAAAUAUGCAUUCAAUUCCUCUUUCACCUAACUUUUUACAUUUAGGUGUUGGAACUUUGACAAUAGCUCUAUAACUGCAAACCGUCAAAUAAUUAAUGUUUGGUUUCCUUUUCUUCCAUUGUUCAUAGGGGGUUAUUUUAGUUUCCUUAUUAGGAACUCUAUUCAAUAUAUGACAAGCUGUUAGAACAGCUUCUCCCCAAAAACAUUAUCCAAGACUUGAAUAUGAUAACAUUGAAUUUACCAUUCUAGUUAAGACUUUAUUUUUCCUCUCAAGUACGCCAUUUUGUUGUGGGGUGUAAAGGGAUGAAACUUGAUGGACAAUUCUAGUGGAUUCAAAAUAACUUGGAUUAUAGUAUUCUCCACCUCUAUCUGAUCUUAAGCACUUGAUAAAUGAUUCACACUGAAGUUCAACUUCAGAUUUAUAACUUUAAAUUUAUCAAACGCUUCAUCUUUUGAAUGCAAUAAAUAUGCAUAACAAUAUCUAGAACAAUCAUCAAUAAAAGUAACAAAAUAUUUCUUUCCACCUAACGUAGGAGUAUUAUGCAUGUCACAUAAAUCAUUAUUUAUCGAAUCAAGCAAUUUUGUUUUCCUUUUAACCUUAGGGAAAGGGUUUCUUGUAAUUUUAGUCAACAUACAUGUAUUACAUUUUUCAAUAUUAUUAUUAAAAAUAUGAAUUAAAUUUAACUUAUACAUGUCAUUCAAUUUUCUAUAAUUCAAAUGACCUAAUCUAUAAUGCCACAAAUAAAAAGAUUCAACCAUUUAAGUAGAAAUAGUAUUUUUAUUCUUGAGUUUGAACAUACUCAUACAUAUACCCUUUCCCCAUAAAAAUUCCUCCCUUAGACAAAAUAAACUUAUCUGCCUCAAAAACAAGUUUGAAACCAAACUUAUUCAACAAACUUUCAGACACUAAAUUCUUCCUAACUUCUGGUACAUAAUAUACAUCAUUUAAGGUUCAAACUUUUCCAGAAGUGAAUUGUAGUUCAAGAAACCCUUUGUCUUUGAUUGCUGCGGUGUAAGAAUUUCCCAUGUACAAGACAUUGUCAUUUUCACAUUGUGUGAACUUUGUGAACAUGCUUUUGUCUUUCACACAUGUUUGGUUACUCCGGUAUCAAUCCACUAUGUAUUAUCAUCUUGUGCCAUAUUAAUUUCAAAUAUCAUUGCAACGAACUUUUCGUUAUUAUCAGCAUUAGAAGAUGAUUUCUUCCUUAAAAAUCGACAUGCAUUCUUGAAAUGUCCUAGCUUUCUACAAUGAUAGCAUGAGCCUUUUUGUUCCUUUUUGAACUUAGGUGCUCUAUCAGUCUGUUUGAACUUUCUCUUCAAUGGUUUAGUAGUUUGAACUUCCUCCGUAACAUGCACUUUGGCAUUUUCAAAAUUUAGGUUAUGAUCUUGUUUUUGAUAUUCUUCUUCAAUACGAAGAUGAUUUGCCAAAGCCUCAAGAGAUAUUUCCUCUUUCUUAUGUUUUAGACUUCUUUUAAAGUCUUUCCAAGAUGGAGGAAGUUUGUGUAUUAUGGAGGAUACAACAAUCAUUUCAUCCAUUUUCAUAUCAUAUUGUUUGAACUGAUUUAGCAUCUUUUCAAUAUCAUGGAAUUGUUCCAUAACAGAACGACCAUCAACCAUUUAAUAAUUAUUGAAACGACUGACAAGAAAUUUCUUACUUGUAACAUCUUCGGUCAUGUAUCUUGUCUCCAAUUUUUCCCAUAAUUCUUUAGCGAUGACCUCGUUUUGGCAGGUGUCGAACAAACCAUCAAAUAAACCAUUCAAUAUGUGGCCCAUGCACAUGUAAUCAGCAUUGUCCCAUUUUUGUUUUUCUAUAAUUGUAGCAACAGAUUAGUUAUCAUUCUCUUUAGGUUUAGGAGUAUCCAAAACAUAAGCAAUCUUCAAAGUUGAUAAUAAGAAGUGCAUCUUUUUUUGCCAUCAUCGAAAAUUGCCACCAUCAAACCGAUCAAGUUUGACAAAGUUGGAAGCCAACUCCCUUAGUAUUCCACUUUCAUGUGUUAUGGUAGUCAUCAUGAAUUAUAGAACCUUAAAAUUGUUAGUACAAAACUCUGGUGAAGAAAAUCUUGAACACACGAACAAAACUCGAACAAAAAAAAGAAAUAGGACAAGGCUCCAAGGCGUGUAUCAAGUCACUAUCUUUAAGGUUAUAUUCACCCCCACCUAUAUUCGGUGUGCAAAUGAGUUCCAAGAAAAUUAACCUCAAGGAUACAAUGAAGCUAAUGACUAUUUACAUUUUGGACUGACGAGAACAGCCCACUACACACUGAGCAAUGUAUGACAAGAAACUCAAUUUCUAUAAAGGAUUUCUAUUGAACUGCACAAUUAACAUACACCAAUAUGACAUCACCACAAGAAGAGCACACUUUACUAAUGAUAGAAAACCAUAGCCCAAAGCAGAAAACAAGAAGUGAGAGAGCAAGUUAUAUCUUAAAACAAACACUACUACGAAACCCUUCUCAACAUGGAAAACACCACAUCAGAAACUAUGACAAAUAGCGGCUCCACCCAUAAUCCAAAACCAAGCAACUAACUAUAGUGAUCACCCUUGCUAAAAAAACCUUUACAUAAAUCAACGAGCAAGCAUUGGACUUCACCCCAAGUAAGAAAAUGAUCCAUCAAACCUUGAAAAAGCUUUAGACACCAUCACUUAUCAGUAGAUAAGAAACCUAAAAUAGAGCCAACACCAGCAACACCUUAUCAAGACCAACAGCUAGAAAAAAUCUCAAUGGAACCGAUAUCAAAGGAAACUCAAUGUCAUAUCGGCUUCCAUAAAACUUUCAAACCACCCCACUAUAGCUCUUAAGACUGACGAUAACCGUACUUUAAAAUCACCAAAGCAUCCACUUCGAGAGACACCUUCAAUCAUAACACAAUGAAUAGACUCAAAUUCAAUUCUAUAAUCACAACAUACCAAAAAAGACAGAAGCCAUUUUCAAUAAAAUAACAGCCUCAACCGAUCAGUAGGCCAUAAAAGGCACAAAACACCAUAAUGCAUCAUCCAACCUCAGCAACAUACAAAUUGUUUAUCAUGGUGUUAUAAUCAAUCUUGGGUUCAAACCCACUAUAAGUAUAUUUUUAUUGGUUUCUGUUAAAAUAAAAAGACUAAAAUACUCAAUUAACUUGUGACACCAACUUAGUUAGGAGCUUAAAUAAUAAUAAGUAUAGAUACAAUUGAUGAAUAUAAUAAAAUAUGCAUAUUAAAAUAAAAAUAUAUAAACGAUAUUAAAAUAAAGUUUUAAUGGUGAUAUACUUGAAGUUUUAUUAUUGUGAUUGUCUUAGGUUCAAAUCCCCUCAUAUUCAUUUUUAAUUAUUUUUUUUAAAAUAAAAAGAUUAAACUACCCUCGAACAAUAUAACUUAUUCUAAUUAUGAAAAAAUAUUUUCGUAAUUUCUCUAACUGAAUUGGCGACACCAAUUCAGUUAGGGACUUAAAUAAUAGUAUAGAUAAUAUAAUUUUUGGCCCUCAACUUGGGAAUUAGAUGCACUUUAAUAUUGUAUUAUUUUUUUCCAAUUUUAUAACUAAACUUGGCAAGUAAAUUCAAGUGGUCAUUGAACUUGGAUUCUAUCAACAUUUGAUGAUGUGACUGGUGUUAUUGAAACAAAAUCAGAUCAUUCGGUCAAAUUGACUGAACUGAAAAGCGAUUGGUAUAACGGUCCAAACAAAGGGGUUGAACUGAUUGAAUCGGAAAUUGGUCAAAAUUGACAAUUUAAAAAAUUAUUUUAACUUUAUUUUUAGAUUUUUAGGAAUUUUUAAUUAAUUAUUUAAUUAUUAUUGGUCUAGCAGUCGAACCGAUUGAAUAAGAAAUCAAUAGUUUUAUCUUUUAACCACCGGUCCGAUUAUUAAAACACUAGAUGCGAUACUGUGAGAUUGUAGCACAUCAUCACCUAAAAUUUUAUAUAAUUUUUUAAUUUUCAAGUGAUAUAUGUGAUCAUGUCACAUAAUCAAACUUUUAAAUUUUGUAUGUUCAGGGAUUAAAAUAGACCUAAUUGUUAAAUUCAAAUGAUAAAGUGGGCUAAAAAAAUCCUGGUAGCCAAUAAUAGAAAAAAUAUACUAUUUAAAAAAUAAUAAUUAAAGCGGACCCACUUGGUGAUAUUGCUCUUUUUCCAUAGUUCCCGACAAUAUUGUAUCCGUCUAUAUGUCUUAAAUAUGCUGCAACCAGCAAAAUUUGUUUUCUAAUAUUUGGCAAUUUUUACUUGCAAGACAACGAUGAAAAACACUUAAAUAAUCAGUACAGUCCUCCUCAAUAAUUGUAAGUCGUAAUAGACCUGAUAUUUUGGCUUAUAAUAAUGUCUCACAUUUACUUUCAUAUCUAAUCUUGAUGUUUUUAACAAUAGCGUAGAGUAGUGGACAUGCUCUUAAAUUAAUAAUAGUAAAAUUAUAUUUUAUCCUUAAAAAAAAUAAAAUUUAAUUUAAUUCAAUUCUUUAAAAAUUAUAAAGAUGUAUACUAUUAAAAAUUAUAUUUUGUUUAUUUACGUUAUCACGUGUUACCUGUGUAGAAAAUGAAGAUUUUGACAAUAAAAAAGAAUAGUGUGGUGAGAAUGGAGGGUUAGAAAGGAAUAAUGCUUCAUUAUUUUAUUCAUUCCCAAAAAGAGGGAUAUAUGAUAUAAGUAAAUGCAAGGAAUGAACGCGUAUAAAAUUUAGACAUGUUACUUAUCCACCUGAAUGGCAUCAUAGACUGGUGUUUUGGCUUUUAUAAUAUUAAUCUCUCACAUAUACGACCAACCUACCCUGAACAUAUGACGAACCCAUUUGCGUCAUUGCAAACGCAAUUUUGGUCCUUAUGCUAUAAUAAAGGAGGAAAUGGUUCUGGUUUAGAGAAGAAAAAUGAAUGCGCUGAUGAUGCUUCUAAUUCUUGCUCCAUGUUGCUUCUUCUUCAUAGCUUUAAUAAAGUUACUUUAUGAUUACCUAUGGAUACCCCUCCGUAUUCAGCAUAUGCUGAAUUCACAAGGGAUCAAAGGACCUCCUUACAGAUUCAUCCAUGGCAACAACAAGGAAGUUACCAAAAUGAAACAAAAAGCUUUAAGUAAAUCUGUGGGCUUGACAGAUGAUUUAUUUCCCAAAGUACAGCCACAUAUUUACACCUGGACCAACAGAUAUGGUAAGAUCCAUGCUUGUUUUUUUCAAUAUGAUUUAUAACUUGUAGUUCUAAGAAAAGGUAGACCCUUUUUCUUUUCAUGUUAUUAGGGAAGAAUUUUGUUUAUUGGAACGGUGCUCGAGCUGAAUUGGUGAUUUCAGAGCCUGAAUUAGUCAAAGAGGUUCUGAAAAAUAGUGAACAAAUUUUUCAGAAAAAGAAACUUUCAGAUAUUGGUAGGAAGUUCUUGGGGAAUGGGCUUAUAUUCAUUGAGGGGGAAAAAUGGGCAAAGCAUCGAAAGCUGGCCAAUCACACUUUCCAUGGGGAAAGCCUAAAGGUAAGUCUUCCAAAUAUAUAAACUAGGUGUAAUUAAUUUACAAGAAUUAUACAUAGACUACAAUAUUUUGGUAAAAUUUUGUAUUGUUAGCUAAGGAUAAAUUUAUUAUGGACGUUGAAUUUUAGACUUAAUGUUGUAAAAUAAAAGAUUGAGUAAGAGAUUUAAAAAAAUAUAUAAUUUCAUUAAAAAGCACUCUUUUAACUUAUUGACUUGGAUUAAAAUCUAGUUUGAAAAGGUGUUUAUUUGUCAAAUUGUUUAAUUUGAAAUCAUGAUUUUGUGUUGAAAAGUGUUUUUCUGACUCCAAUUAUAUAUGUCACUACUACUUACAUAUAGGAGGAUUGUUUGGGCAGAACAUGACUCCAGCAAUAAUUGCUAGUGUUGAAACAAUGCUAGAAAAGUGGAAAGGCCAAUAAGGCAAAGAGAUUGAACUGUACCAAGAAUUUAGGUUAUUAACUUCAGAAGUGAUUUCCAGAACAACAUUUGGUAGCAAUUACAUGGAAGGGGAGAAGAUAUUUGCCAUCUUGAGCAAGUUGGCAGUAAUUAUGAGUCGAAAUGUUUCCACGACUAGAAUUCCUUUGAUCAGGUAUCUUCCCUCUAAGCUUAAUUAAUCCCAACUUUUACCUUGAUUUCAACUAGCUUUUGAAUGCAACUUUUAGACUUUCAUUCCCCAUGGAUUUGGUUUUCUCCUUAUAUAUAGCUGACCCUGGUUUGCUUUUGCAGCAAGUUGUGGAAAUCUGCUGAUUUGCUAGAGUCUGAAAAACUUUCAAAAGAAAUAAAAGAUCGUCUGAUGAAGAUUGUUAAGAAAAGAGAAGACAAAGUUGUGAAUGGAGAAGUCAAUAGCUUCCGCAGUGAUUUUUUUGGAUUACUUCUAAAUACCUAUCAUGAUUCGGAUGCGAAAAACAGGAUUUCAUUGGAAGACGUGGUAGCUGAAUGCAAAACAUUCUUUUUUGCUGGACAAGAAACUGUUAAUUCCUUACUUGCAUGGAUAGUCUUGCGCAUUUGGCAAUCCAUGGAGAUUGGCAAGAAAAAGCGAGAAGAGAGGUGGUUGACAUAUUUGGUAACCAAAAUCCACAUCUCGAAGGCAUCGCCAAACUCAAAAUAGUAAGAAAACUAUCUAACUGGGAAUUCAAAUAGCCAUCGACAUGAUGUAAUCUGACAUAUUUUUCUAUUUUCCAAACAGAUGACCAUGAUCAUCAAUGAAGCUCUAAGAUUGUAUGGUCCAACAGGUGUCCUCCAAAGAACAGUUACAAGAGAAAUUCAGUUGGGAAAGCUACUCUUGCCUGCUAAUAUAGAUAUUCUGCCUUUAAAUAUUGGACUUCAUCGUGACCCUCACUUUUGGGGAAAUGAUGUGCAUCAUUUUAAACCUAAGAGAUUCGCUGAAGGGAUUGCCAAAGCUACCAAUUACACCGCGGCUGCCUUUUUCCCCUUCGGAUUAGGACCUCGAUCUUGUGUUAGUAUGACAUUUGCAAUGAUAGAAACCAAGAUUGCUCUCUCCAUGAUUCUACAACGCUACACCAUUAUCCUUUCCCCUGCUUAUGUCCACUCUUCAAUACUUAUUCUCAACUUUCAACCCCAAAAUGGAAUUCAAGUAAUACUUGAGCCGAAUACAUAGUAAUGCUUGAAGUACAUAGCCGUUAAGAACUAGAGGUUUAACAUGGUUCAUGUAUUUUACUUUUAAGAGAUGAUAUUUAAUAUGUUUAAAGGUUCUAGCAUUCAUCAUUAAAGACAAACGACUUGUGGCCAUGUUUACUUUUUAUCUAUCAUGCAAUGUCGAUAAGAAGAUAUCAUUUACCUUUUAGUUGGGUUAUGAAUUCUACUAUUGUGAAUGAUGUUACAUACUAUACAAGUUCUAUACCCAAUGCACCAACUUUCGGUUCUUUAUCUAUUUGAACUUAGCCUUUUACUUGCAUCAAAGUAUACGAGUCAUGCUUGUAUAGUCCACCAUCCACUCAAGAUUAAGGUAUAUCACACAAUGAACAUCACAAGUAAAUAGAUCCAUAAAUGGAUCUAGAAUCUAUUCUACUUGGGUCUUUUCUGAUGUAUUGUCAGUCCAGUCAAUCACAUCUAUGUCUUUAUCUUUUAGGAGUUAUCUGUUCCAUUUAAGACAAAGCAUCUCCACAAUUGGGUUUGAUAGACGACAUCUUAGUUUUUCAAUCGAUUUGCUCAAUUUUGAUUAGACUAAGGACAUAUUUAGGUUUAUAUACUAAUACAAGCUAUCUUUCCAUAUCAAGAUCUGACCACGUAAUACCGCUUAGUAUUAAUUUAAACAAUAGAUAACCAAUGAGCCAAUAUUUGCUUCCAUUUUGCUUUGUGUGCAAAAACAUUGAGGACAAUAUGCAAAGGGUAUUAAUGUAAUUAAUAGAUAUUAUUAAACCAAUUUGUUUGAAAAAUACAAUUAUAUAAAACGAAUAUAGUACACUUAGUGUACCAAAUCCAACAAUGGCCACUACAGCUAGCAUUGCCAUAAGCAACAUAACUUGACAUUUUUGGAGUUGAAAUCUUUUUAACAAAAUCAGUUGGGCAACGACUUAGAUGAUUUUGUGGACAUGUGUUGGCUCAUAUUUGAAGAUCCAUUUUGUGGAGCAAUCAAUCUGUUAAGAUUAAAUCAAUCUGAAUCAAGCAAAUCGGAUCACUUAUUUUGUGGAGAUUGGCUUGACUUAUUUUAAAAUUUAUUUUCGAAAUCUUUGAUUUAUUCUUAACUUUCAGGAUAUUUGUAAAAUUUGAUAACACUCUAGAAUAACGUAUUUUUAUGUAUUAAUUAUGUAUUUAUUUUGAAUAUGAUCCUGCUAAUUUGAGCUAUUUAUGAUAUUUUAUCUCAUAGGGACUAAAUUUGAGACAAAAGCAAAAUUAAGGGCCAAAAGUGUGAAUUUAGAGAUAAAAUGGGCCAAUGUGCGACACAAAUAAAAGUUGGUGCCAAAAGUGCAAGCAUGGAGGACACAAGGGUUGAAAUGCAAAAAAAAGAGAUUUUAUUCUAUCAAACUCUAUUUUAAUUAUAUUAGGAUAAUUAAUAUUAAGAUAAUUAUUAAGGAUUAUCUAAUUUUAGGAUUUUAUUUUAUUUAUCUUCAAUUAAAUGUAUUUAUCUUUUGGAGUUUAAGUAGGAUUAGACUAUCUCCCCUAGCACUAUAAAUAGGGGUAAAGUAACUCAAAAAUGAUGUAAACACUCUCUCCCCCAAAAGUCUAGGCUUUUGUUCUCCUCAUAUUUCCUUUCAAUAAAAUCUCUAUUUUUAUUUUAUUUAUUUUCUUUUUCACCACAACCAUGAGCCACUAAACUCAUCUAGCUGAAAGUUGUCGAUAUUUUCCAAAAAGGGUUCUCGAGGCCUAGAGUCCGUACUUAGCCUCCUCGCUGAGUAUUCAUUGUUUCUCUGCACUACGGGGCUGACGCUUCCGUCCAUGUCCCUUAAGAAGUAAGAUUUUCAAUGUAUGCAAAGGCGACUGCUUUGUAUGUUUUAGGAAGAUUGCAUAGUCAAUUCGUUAACUUACUGCGUUAGAGGUUAGUGAGCCCAAGAGACAAAAUGGCAUGGGAUUCACCAUUGAGAAUCGCUGAUCUAGCAUAAGACGAUCCCAUAGAAGCAAUUGUUGGCUAGAGUCAGGUUUCACUAAAUCGUAAGUCUAAAUCCUUAGAGCUGGUGGUCGUAGGCGUCCUCUUCCACUAUAACUGGCUUAUUCGGUUUAGGAAGGAUCAUCUAAAAGUUGAGGAUUGAACCCAAGGCGGAACGAGAAAGCUGGAGGUUAGAAUCUCCCAUAAGAAUUUUCUUUCUCUUAACUUUAUUUUUAAUUUCUCGAAUUUUUGAUUCAAUAUUCUUAAUUUUGUUUUUAUUUUAUUUUUCGUUUCCAGACCCAAACCUUUAAUUCUAUUUUUUUUAUUUUUUUUCCAGGAACGCAGGUUUUCUCGGGAAAGAUUCUGCCUGGGAUUUCACAAAAUAAGAUAUUGUGCAAAUCCAGUCCCUAAGGAUUUUACCUUACUUUCCUUUUACUAUUCUUUUUCAUUAUUUAUUAGGGAUAGGAUAUUUUUUGUGCUUUCAACAACCGCAUUAGUAAAGUUUUUUUUACGAGGCUAUUUUUUGUGGGAUAUUGAUUCGAAUUGAUCUUUAUCUUUGCAAACAUUAAAUUCUUAUAUAUUAGAGGCUUGUGUAAGUUAAAAUAAGAUAGAGUUUCUAUUGCACUUAUUUUUUUCAUUGAGGAACUUGUAAUUGAUAGUGCAUUAAGAGUGUAAAAUAAGUUUGUUGCUUGGUUUUACAGCCAAAAUUCUCAAGGGAAGAACUUAGUGGUGAAUGAUUUAGAUAUUUAGAUACAAAAGUGAGGUUGCUAUACCGAGUUGUGAUAGGACUUAAAUAACUUGUUGUCUUGGGAUUAAAAAUAAUGGAUUUACUCAUUAAGUUAGGUUCCAUAGACAUAGAAAAAUCGAUAUGCAUAAACAAUCAUUUGUGUUCUAUUUUUUGUUGUUGUGUUCAUCAUAGUGGCAUCAAAGGUUGCCAUUACAACCAUCACUUUGUCAUCAAUUACUCACUUUAUUUUUUUAAGCAAUUAUCAACUACAUGCGCCAAGAGAAUGCUUGUUUCCAGUACUAUUGAUCAAAAUUUUGUAGGAAGCAUAAUGACAAAAAAGGAAAUGAUUACAAUCAACCCCUUAUGUAACAAUUCCAUUUGUAUGUUUGCAUGUUAUAAAAUGGUGGUUGUUAUAUACUACAACAUGUUGUUAUAAAAAGAUAAUUAUUGUAAACCUAAAAUAGAAUUUACAUUGCGAAUUACUAUCAUAUAAAGAAGGUGGGAAUUAUAUUAAAAAAGGAAAGUAGAAACCAAUUCAACAAAAUUAAAAGAUGUAUAAUAGGUGCAUGCAUUAUUACCUUUAUAUUUUAUUUUACAUUUUUCACAUGAUUAAUCGAUAUGAGUUUAAAUUAAAUUAAUUAAUUUAUCAUGUGUCAUUAAAUUCAAGUAAUUAAUUUAUAAGAUUAUGAUGUUCCAAAUUUAUAGUAGAAUAUUUAAUUAGAGAACUUAAUAGUUUAUUGAAUUGAUAUCUUUAAUUCCACUCAUUGAAGAUUUUGUCAUGUGAAAUUUAAACAUUUUAUUAAAAUAAUAUUUUAUGAUUGUUUAUGAUAAACUUAGGAUUUUUAAUAGUGUUUAUAUAUGUAUUAUGUUAAGAUACAUAAUGAUAAAACUAGAGUUUGUGGUAUGUUUUGAGAUGAUAGGCUUCACGAUUAUGUGAUUUAUUGUCCUUAGCUAAUUCAAAUAUAGAUUAAUGAGGUUGGUUUAAUAUAUGUUGUAGGGAACAACGAAAAUGGGAAAAAAUUAAAUAUUACCCUAAAACAAAUUGAUAAUUAAUAUAGUUAAAUUAAAUCCAUUUUGUUUUGGCAAAUGAAAAUCAUUGGUUUAAAAGGUUUGAGAAUUGAGGAACCUUUGCAAAACAUAAUGCGAUAUCAUCACUGUUUAUAGGAGCUGAGUAUAAAUAUUCUCUUUUCAUGUCUUUGUUGUUGGGUUUUUAGGUCUUUUUGUGACAAUUAUCAUUCCUCUCAUUUCAAUAUUUAUGAUAAUAAUACCUGUAAAGCACGUUGGUCAUGUCUUAUUUUUACUAUUUAUGUAAACAUGAUUCCCGUAUAAACUAUACUAAAAUUCGUAUUAUUGUAGUACUUAUUAUUAAAGUUUCAGUCCUGUGACAAUUGGUAUUGGACUGAGAUUUGAAGCUACCAGUUGAGAUGACAAAAGGAGUAGAAGAGCAGAUUGAACCCAGAGAGACCAUGGGAGGGGCAGGAGCUAUUUAUAUAUUUUUGAGAUGUUGAUAUCUUCCAGAGCCAUUUAUGACCACACACGAUAAUGGGUAAGAUAGGGUCCUACCUGACUUAUGGUUUAUCUGUUUUGAAGGGGGAAAUGGUUUUGUUUUAGAGAAGAAAAAUGAAUGCGUUGAUGAAACUUCUAAUUCUUGCUCCAUGUUUCUUCUUCAUAGCUUUAAUAAAGUUACUUUACGAUUACCUAUGGAUACCUCUCCGUAUUCAGCAUAUGCUGAAUUCACAGGGGAUCAAAGGACCUCCUUACAGAUUCAUCCAUGGCAACAACAAGGAAGUUACCAAAAUGAAACAAAAAGCUUUAAGCAAAUCUGUGGGCUUGACAGAUGAUCUAUUUCCCAGAGUACAUCCACAUUUUUACACCUGGACCAACAGAUAUGGUAAGAUCCAUGCCUGUUCUUUCACUAUGAUUUAUAACUUGUAGUUCUAAGAAAAGGUAGACCCUUUUUCUUUUCAUGUUAUUAGGGAAGAAUUUUGUUUAUUGGAACGGUGCUCGAGCUGAAUUGGUGAUUUCAGAGCCUGAAUUAAUCAAAGAAGUUCUGAAAAAUAGUGAACAAAUUUUUCAGAAAAAGCAGCUUUCAGAUAUCGGUAUGAAGUUCUUGGGGAAUGGACUUAUAUUCAUUGAGGGGGAAAAAUGGGCAAAGCAUCGAAAGCUAGCCAAUCACACUUUCCAUGGGGAAAGCCUAAAGGUAAGUCUUCCAAAUAUAUAAACUAGAUGUAAUUAAUUUACAAGAAUUAUACAUAGACUACAAUAUUUUGGUAAAAUUUUGCAUUCUUAGCUAAUUUAUUAUCGAAGUUGAAAAGAUUCGUGAAAAGUAAUUUUGAAAAAUUUGACAGCAUUUACCACUUAAGAUAUCAAUUUUAGAUUUAAUGUUGUAAAGUAAAAAAUAAUUCAGAGAUUUAAAAAAGAAGUCAUUUCAUUGAAAAACACUAUUUUAACUUUUUGACUUAGAUUAAAAUCUAAUUUGAAAUAAAGUUUAGUUUGAAAUUUUGUUUGUUUGCGAAUUUUUCUAAGUUGAAAUCAUGAUUUUGUGUUGAAAAGUGUUUUUCAGACUCCAAUUAUAUAUGUCACUACUACUUACAUAUUGGAGGAUUGUUUCCGCAGAACAUGACUCCAGCAAUAAUUGCUAGUGUUGAAACAAUGCUAGAAAAGUGGAAUGGCCAAGAAGGAAAAGAGAUUGAAGUGUACCAAGAAUUUAGGUUAUUAACUUCAGAAGUGAUUUCCAGAACAGCAUUUGGUAGCAAUUACAUGGAAGGGGAGAAGAUAUUUGCCAUCUUGAGAAAGUUGACAGUAAUUAUGAGUCGAAAUCUUUCCAAGACUAGAAUUCCUUUGAUCAGGUAUCUUCCCUCUACGCUUAAUUAAUCCCAACUUUUACCUUGAUUUCAACUAGCUUUUGAAUGCAACUUUUAGACUUUCAUUCCCCAUUGAUUUGGUUUUCUCCUUAUAUAUAGCUGACCCUGGUUUGCUUUUGCAGCAAGUUGUGGAAAUCUGCUGAUUUGCUAGAGGCUGAAAAACUUUCAAAAGAAAUAAAAGAUCGUGUGAUGAAGAUUGUUAAGAAAAGAGAAGACAAAGUUGUGAAUGAAGAAGUCAAUAGCUUUGGCAGUGAUUUUCUUGGAUUACUUCUAAAUGCCUAUCAUGAUUCGGAUGCGAAAAACAGGCUUUCCUUGGAAGACGUGGUAGCUGAAUGCAAAACAUUCUAUUUUGCUGGACAAGAAACUGUUAAUUCCUUACUUGCAUGGAUAGUCUUGCAUUUGGCAAUCCACGGAGAUUGGCAAGAAAAAGCGAGAAGAGAGGUGAUUGACAUAUUUGGUAACCAAAAUCCACAUCUCGAAGGCAUCGCGAAACUCAAAAUAGUAAGAAAACUAUCUAACUGGGAAUUCAAAUAGCCAUCAACAUUAUGCAAUCUAACAUAUUUGUCUAUUUCCUAAACAGAUGACCAUGAUCAUCAAUGAAACUCUAAGAUUGUAUGGUCCAUCAAAUGGCCUGGCAAGAGCAGUUACAAGAGAAGUUCAGUUGGGAAAACUACUCUUGCCUGCUAAUAUAGAUAUUCUGCCUUUAAAUAUUGGACUUCACCGUGACCCUCACUUUUGGGGAGAUGAUGUGCAUCAUUUUAAACCCGAGAGAUUCGCUGAAGGGAUUGCCAAAGCUACCAAUUACACCACGGCUGCAUUUUUUCCCUUCGGGUUGGGACCUCGAUCUUGUGUUGGUAUGACAUUUGCAACAAUAGAAACAAAGGUUGCUCUCUCCAUGAUUCUACAACGUUACACAAUUACCCUCUCCCCUGCCUAUGUCCACUCUCCAAUACCUAUUCUCACCCUUCGACCACAACAUGGAAUUCAGGUAAUACUUGAGCCGAUACAUAGUAAUGCUUGAAGUACAUAGCUGCUAAGAAAUAAGGGUUUAACAUGGUUCAUGUAUUUUAGUUUUAAAAGAUGACAUUUAAUAUGUAUAAGGU